AGGCCGGCUGGCCGCAGGGGAACCUUUCCUCUCCGGGUUCAGGGUCCGGGAGCAAACCCCGAGCUGCGGCAAAAAGGGCUGGUAGGCUCUCCUGCACCCCCGCUUGCUCCCCCGCCUUCCCUGUGUCCCCCGGCUUUUCCAGGAGGAAGAUGGGGUACCCAGCGGGGGUGGGGCGCGCCGGGCCGCGGAGCCGGGCUGUCACGUGCCCCCCUCUCCCCACACCCCCCGCCACUGCGGCGGGAGUUCCAAUCAGAGCGCGCCAGGGGGCUCCUCCCGGGCAGGAACCACCCGGCUCGGCGGCGGAGGGUGGGCCGCCGUCACCUGACCGCCCGCCCCCGCCCCCCGCGAGUAAGGGGCGGUGGUAGCGUCUGCUCGGUUACAAAUGGCCCCUCCCGCCCCGCUCGCCCGCUCGCUCGGGCUCGGCGCGGACCCGCCCGGGAGCGCUCCUCCCGCCGGCUGCCGGCGUCCCGCCGCCCUGCCCGGAGCCGGCCGGCGGUCCCCGCCAACCCCCGAGGGCGCUCCUGGCACCCAGCACGGAGGCUUGCCCGCGGAGGUCGCGCCGGGAGACUGGACCGCGGUAGCGCGCGGCUUGCCUUCCCGCAGGUGAACUUUGAUAUGGUGGACGGUGACUCUUCUCCUGCAUGCGAGUGGUGGUUCAAACCAGCGAAGAGACUUCAGACCUGUGGUGACAGAGGCCUUAAAACCUCACAGGGAGACAUCCUUGGAGCUCCAUGGCCAGGAAGUGCGGGAGGAAACAGGACUUUCAAAGCAGAAAAAGCCCACCAUGUUCCUGCCCAAGCGAGGCUACGCCAGCCGAGGGUACCCUGUGCAGAGGGCCAGUGGGGCCCCAUACAGCCAGCACCUGCCACGAAGAGCGUGGCCGAGCUGCAGGUCCUGCUGUGUGGCACUGGGCUGCGGGGGACCCCACGAUCAGGCUGAAGAGUGGCUGACCCUGGAGCCCACGAGAUGGAGGAAGGUGUUCAGAGCCACAGAGGCAGGCACACGGGGUGUACUGGGGGGACGCCAGCUCCACGAGGGAGGAGGGGCAGGUGCAGAAGUGAGGAGCCAUGGGAUCUGCAACUUGUGGGCAUGAUGGGGGCCUUGGAGAGAUUAAUCCUGAUCCAACUGGCCCUCUGGAGGAAUCCCCAUGGUGUCGCUGUGCAUCAGGGCACGAGAGCCGAGAGGCAGGGAGGUGAGUGAGGAGGUCUGACAGUCAGCUGUUCAUACAGAACAGCUGUGUGCACGUCCUGAGGACGCUGGGUGCCAGCUUUCUUUUUCCGUUUUCAAACGCUUAGAAAAGACGAGUUGGACCACGCAAGUCUUAGUUUGAAUGAUACAUUCACUCAGCCAGUAUUUAUCAAGCAUCCCCUACAUGGCGAAGGCUGGGGACCCGAGAGGGAGGCUGGAAUCGAGUGGCAACAGCUCGCCGCACACUGUGUGGUAAGAACCUUCAGGAAGAGGCCCAGAGGCUUGGAAAGCACGUGACAGCAGAGUUGGGUCUGGGCUGGGGGACGGUGUCCAGGAAGUCAUGUUGGAUUGGAAAGCCGAAAGAGAAGUUGGUGUUAAACUAUGUGAAAUAGAGAAUGAGGCAUUCCAGGAGGAGGAAGCAGCUUGUGGUGGAAAGGAGUAUGGCAUGUUUGAGAAGUCAGAACAGCAGAUAAAUGGAUGGACCUAGAGUCUGUCAUACAGAGUGAAGGAAGUCAAAGAGGGAAACAAGCAUAGCAUAUUAACGCAUAUAUAUGGAAUCCAGAAAAAUGGUAUAGAUGAACCUAUUUGCAGGGCAGGACAGAGACCCAGACGCAGAGAGCAGACAUGUGGGCACGGGAUGGGGAGGGCAGUGGGCCAAGUUGGGAGAGGAGCACUGACAUAUAUGCGCCCCCACGUGUGAAACUGAUCGCGAGGGGGCGCUGCCGUGUAACAGGGAGCACAGCUCCGUGCUCUGUGAUGAGCGGAGGUGGGGCGGGCUGAGAGAGGGAGGAGACAGAUGUGAACAUAAAGCGGAUUCACGUUGUUGUACCGCAGAAACUGACAGCAUCAUAAAGCAGUUACACAUCAAUAAAAAUUUUUAAACAGAAUUCAAAAUAUAAACGAAGUCAACAGGGUGUAGACAGAGGGGAGAUGAAAGGCCGACUCUGCUGGCAUUCUGCUUCUAACCCCUGGCUGCUCUCUGUUCCCUCCGCACUCCAGAGGCAGCACGGAGGUCAGUCGGCUGGCAUGGUGCGGUGGGGCAGCUGGUGUUGUGAAUCAGGCCGUCGCCAAUCAGAGAACGGCUACUUCACAACACCAGGGUCACACCCCACCCCAGGCAGCGCUCCCAGCUCCAG
ensembl:lncRNA